rnacentral:rRNA from 1 species
CAGCCGCCGCGGGAACACCAGCACCUCGAGUGGUCAGGAGGUUUAUUGGGCCUAAAGCAUCCGUAGCCGGUUGCAUAAGUUUUCGGUUAAAUCUAUGCGCUUAACGUAUAGGCCGCCGAAAAUACUGUGCAGCUAGGGAGUGGGAGAGGUACACGGUACUCGAUAGGAAGGGGUAAAAUCCUUUGAUCUAUUGAUGACCACCUGUGGCGAAGGCGGUGUACCAGAACACGUUCGACGGUGAGGGAUGAAAGCUGGGGGAGCAAACCGGAUUAGAUACCCCCGUAGUCCCUGUCUUUAUACA